CAGAUGGUCCUCAGUUGUAUAUUUUGUUGGAUUUCAAGGAGGAAGAGGUGAAAAGUUCUAUACUGACCUCUCACAGGUGAGGAUGUGGCUGAGCCAAUGACUGAAGACAUCUGAAGGAAGAUACUAACCAGAUGAACAGGUAUCUCCGAAGUGUCUCAGUGGGAGCAAGAAAAAUGGCCACAGCAAGGUUGGCUGAAAGGUUGGAGAGACUGAACACUGUCAGGCUUAAGGGCUGUCAAACAGUGUACUUGGAACAAAGUGCAAAGUGAGUGAGGAGACUUCUCUACCGAACCCUACUUAACUGGUGCCUGUAAAUAAUUGGAGUAAAACGGACACAUUCUAAGGCAUGAAGAAACUUUAGCCACUAUUAGUUUGUAGGUACAUAAGAGAUUCAGCUCACAGGUCAAGAAAGUGUUUCACCAUAUGAUGUCUUUUGUAUGGUAAGCUAUUUAAAGUAUAGAAUACAAGCAAUACAAUUAUAAGGAAAAUUUUCUGACUUUUAUUAUAACAUUUUGCCCCAUGCUCUUCAACAUAUUUAUAUGCUUUUUAAUGUUGUCAUUUCAUAUAAAAAUUUUGUUAUGCUGCCGAGCAGAUUAGGAGCUCCUUGAGGGAAGGGAUUCUAUCCUAUACAACCGAUGUGGAAUUCUGGGUGUUUGGUAAGUGCUCAUCAAAUACUUCAUGGAACAUUGAAUAUUGUGGACCUUGUACUUUAUGCUGCUAACUCCAGGUCCAAGAUACGGCUGGCUUCUGUGGAAAGUACCACCCCAGCACCUUAUGUCAGACUAUGACAAAAUAUCCCUGGGAAGCCCCCAGAAGUUUGUUUGGUUGCUUUCUGUUGUUGCCAUCACUUGAGUGACAUGUGGGUCUCCAGAGAGAGACUUUGCCUUCUCCUUUUCUCACAGAGCAACAUGCUCACUGUUGGCUGAAGGAUACGUAUGUUUUAUGGAGAGCAGAUUAGGUUACACAUAGGCAUUGUCUUCACUACUCACAGCACCAGGCACUGCUUUGGGACAACAAGCAGUCUCCUGACUGCCACCACGGGUGGGAUCCUUCGUAGCUCAAAGCUUUGACUCCCAACCUGUCCUAAUAAUCUGUCUUGCUUGUGCCAUUUGGUGUUGAGAUCCCUGAUUUCUGAAGGCAUAAAGUAACUUUUGCCCAGGAUUUGACUUUCUCUCCUUCUAACCACUAGAGCCCACACCAACCAAUCUCCUGAAGCGCUAUUGUGUCAGGCUUGAAAUGGAGGCUCAAUAUUGUUUGCUGCUUUAAGAUGUUAUAAAGUCCAGAGGCUCCCCGGUGGCCUAACUGCAAGUUCCCGUCCCUUGUCUCUUCAUGCGGAUGUCUCUUAGCCAAACAGCCCUCCUCAUCAUGGGGACCAGGCACACCACCUGUUUAUCAUUCAUCGUGUGCAGGAUUCAGUUCCCUGUCAGCCAACAGAAUUACUCAAACAAGCCAAUCCCAUCCUUCCUUGGGAGCCAGGGGGCACCUCACUGUCUUGAUACUACAAAGUUUGCUUCCCACAGCCCCCACUUGUUCACCCUGACCUCAAGUGCAACCCUCAUGUGAUUCUGUGUGGCAUGGAGUGUCCUCCUCCCCCAAGCUAAGUAUACAUGACCAAUAAACUGCUGUUGAUCUCGUCUGUUCAGUGUCAGGUGUCACAGCCAUGCCCAUAAUCCCAGGGCGGGAAUCCUCCCCUUACUGAUGGGGUGAAGUGGAGGCGAUUAAAACAGCUACACCCACCCCGUUCCUGAAGUGAAUCCUCUGGCUAUUAGUUCUUGUGCCUGUUUCUCAGAACUCUAAAGUUGCACCUGUUCCCUGUGGAGUUUUGGAUUCUUCUGCUGCCCUUCUGGAGGGCUCUCUGCUGCAUUUCCCCAGACUUACCCACCCUCAGUUCUUCACACUGAGCCAGUUACUGGCUCUUGCAAUACCAACAACAACAUGGAAAGGAUUCAGGAGCCACUUCUUCCAGUCAAUAACAAGUAAUUAUUAAAUAUUUCACUGUCUUUGUCUGGCAGCAUUGAUGUUCUCCAAAUCUUCUUCAGUAUUUUCCUACAUCCAUCCCACCAUGCUGAGGGCAUACACAUAUAGUCUGGGGAUAAAGGGAGUUUCUGCUAUGGAGACUCAAAUGUCAGAUAGUUAUACAAUAGUAUACCUUAAAAAAAAUAAAACUCCACUACUCUGAAUAAGAAGCCACUUCAUUUUUUCACUUUCUAACAUGGAAACUCACCAAAGUAAGGUCAUGGUAGAAUGCACUAUUAACUAACCUAUCUACUUCUAACUACAGUUUGUACAGUAGGCUUUCACAUGCCCUCAGGAGUCAGAAGGGAAAAAGAACACCCCACCUGUGUUACCUCUACUGAAUAUUGGGGGAUUCCUCCCCUAUUCUAGGAUGUAGAUCUCCCUUCUGCAACUUUACGGCAGUCUGACCAGUUCACCUGAAGAUUUAAAAAUUAGAUGUAUUUGCAUUAGCCAGAAGAUAUAGGUGAAUAUUUACCUAACUCCUGAUUAGGGAAGGCCUAAGUUUAAAAGCAAAGUAAGAAACCCUAAUGAGAAAAGGUGGUAGAUGUAACUUUUUCUAAAAUUAUAAAUUCCUAAGUGAAGUGAAAGGUCAAAUUGGGGAAAAGAUAAAACAGAUUUGGCUGUCAAUGUGUUCAUGGUCUUACCACUAAAAGUAGUACUCACAAAAAAGACAGAUAUAUAUACCCCAAUAGAAAUAUUCU